ACGCAGGCGGUCUGUCAAGUCGGAGGUGAAAUCCCCGGGCUCAACCUGGGAACUGCAUUCGAAACUGGCAGGCUUGAGUCUUGUAGAGGGGGGUAGAAUUCCAGGUGUAGCGGUGAAAUGCGUAGAGAUCUGGAGGAAUACCGGUGGCGAAGGCGGCCCCCUGGACAAAGACUGACGCUCAGGUGCGAAAGCGUGGGGAGCAAACAGGAUUAGAUACCCUGGUAGUCCACGCCGUAAACGAUGUCUACUUGGAGGUUGUGCCCUUGAGGCGUGGCUUCCGGAGCUAACGCGUUAAGUAGACCGCCUGGGGAGUACGGCCGCAAGGUUAAAACUCAAAUGAAUUGACGGGGGCCCGCACAAGCGGUGGAGCAUGUGGUUUAAUUCGAUGCAACGCGAAGAACCUUACCUGGUCUUGACAUCCACAGAACUUUCCA
rnacentral:rRNA from 1 species